rnacentral:rRNA from 1 species
AGAACGAACGCUGGCGGCAUGCUUAACACAUGCAAGUCGAACGAGGGCUUCGGCCCUAGUGGCGAACGGGUGAGUAACGCGUGGGAACCUGCCUUGGAGUGGGGGAUAACCGCUGGAAACGGCGGCUAAUACCGCAUGUGGCCUGAGGGCCAAAGGCUUCGGCCGCUUUGAGAGGGGCCCGCGUCCGAUUAGCUAGUUGGUGGGGUAACGGCCUACCAAGGCAGCGAUCGGUAGCUGGUCUGAGAGGAUGAUCAGCCACACUGGGACUGCGACACGGCCCAGACUCCUACGGGAGGCAGCAGUGGGGAAUAUUGGACAAUGGGCGCAAGCCUGAUCCAGCAAUGCCGCGUGCGUGAUGAAGGCCUUCGGGUUGUAAAGCGCUUUCGCCCGCGACGAUGAUGACGGUAGCGGGAGAAGGAAGCCCGGCUAACUCCGUGCCAGCAGCCGC